CCAGCAGCUGCGGUAAUUCCAGCUCCAAUAGCGUAUAUUAAAGUUGUUGCAGUUGAAACGCUCGUAGUUGGAUGUUUGGCGUGUUGGGCGUGUGUGUGCGGGGCAACCUGUGCACUGUGCCUUGAUGCGCUGUCUUUUUUCUCGGUGUUGCGCGUGUGCCAUUCACUUGGUGCGCGUUGCGAUUCGGGACUUUUACUUUGAAAAAAUUAGAGUGUUCAAAGCAGGCUUGUACGUUUGAAUAGAUUAGCAUGGAAUAAUGGAAUAGGACUUUGGUUCAUAUUUCGUUGGUUUUGGGACCGAAGUAAUGAUUAAUAGGGAUGGUUGGGGGCAUUAGUAUUGCGUUGUCAGAGGUGAAAUUCUUGGAUUUACGCAAGACUAACAUGUGCGAAAGCGUUUGCCAAGGACGUUUUCA
rnacentral:rRNA from 1 species